rnacentral:rRNA from 1 species
UACAGAGGUCUCAAGCGUUGUUCGGAUUCAUUGGGCGUAAAGGGUGCGUAGGCGGCGCGGUAAGUCGGGUGUGAAAUCUCGGGGCUUAACUCCGAAACUGCGUUCGAUACUGCCGUGCUUGAGGACUGGAGAGGAGACUGGAAUUUACGGUGUAGCGGUGAAAUGCGUAGAUAUCGUAAGGAAGACCAGUGGCGAAGGCGGGUCUCUGGACAGUUCCUGACGCUGAGGCACGAAGGUCAGGGGAGCAAACGGG